UACGGAGGAUCCAAGCGUUAUCCGGAUUUAUUGGGUUUAAAGGGUGCGUAGGCGGUCAGAUAAGUUAGAGGUGAAAUUCCGGUGCUUAACACCGGCGCUGCCUCUAAUACUGUUUGACUAGAGAGUAGUUGCGGUAGGCGGAAUGUAUGGUGUAGCGGUGAAAUGCUUAGAGAUCAUACAGAACACCGAUUGCGAAGGCAGCUUACCAAGCUAUAUCUGACGUUGAGGCACGAAAGCGUGGGGAGCAAACAGG
rnacentral:rRNA from 2 species